rnacentral:tRNA from 2 species
GGCUAUGUAGCUCAGCUGGUUAGAGCGCUGCACUCAUAACGCAGAGGUCGGUAGUUCAAGUCUACCCAUAGCCACCA